rnacentral:rRNA from 1 species
GAUGAACGCUGGCGGCGUGCCUAAUACAUGCAAGUCGAGCGAACGGACGAGAAGCUUGCUUCUCUGAUGUUAGCGGCGGACGGGUGAGUAACACGUGGAUAACCUACCUAUAAGACUGGGAUAACUUCGGGAAACCGGAGCUAAUACCGGAUAAUAUUUUGAACCGCAUGGUUCAAAAGUGAAAGACGGUCUUGCUGUCACUUAUAGCUGGAUCCGCGCUGCAUUAUCUAGUUGGUAAGGUAACGGCUUACCAAGGCGACGAUGCAUAGCCGACCUGAGAGGGUGAUCGGCCACACUGGAACUGAGACACGGUCCAGACUCCUACGGGAGGCUGCAGUAGGGAAUCUUCCGCAAUGGGCGAAAGCCUGACGGAGCAACGCCGCGUGAGUGAUGAAGGUCUUCGGAUCGUAAAACUCUGUUAUUAGGGAAGAACAUAUGUGUAAGUAACUGUGCACAUCUUGACGGUACCUAAUCAGAAAGCCACGGCUAACUACGUG